ensembl:snRNA U6 U6 spliceosomal RNA
GUGCUCGCUUCGGCAGCACAUUUACUAAAAUUGGAACGAUACAGAGAAGAUUAGCAUGGCCCCUGCGCAAGGAUGAUGAUGAAGAAGAAGAGUUUGGAUUUGAUAUC